AGUGAACGCUGGCGGCGUGCUUAAUACAUGCAAGUCGAACGAUGAAGCUUCUAGCUUGCUAGAAGUGGAUUAGUGGCGCACGGGUGAGUAAUAUAUAGUUAAUCUGCCUUGCACUGAGGAACAACAGUUGGAAACGAUUGCUAAUACCUCAUACUCCAACUUAGCAUAAGUUAAGUUGGGAAAGUCUUUUCGGUGCAAGAUGAGACUAUAUCGUAUCAGCUAGUUGGUAAGGUAAUGGCUUACCAAGGCUAUGACGCGUAACUGGUCUGCGAGGAUGAUCAGUCACAUUGGAACUGAGACACGGUCCAAACUCCUACGGGAGGCAGCAGUAAGGAAUAUUGUGCAAUGGGGGAAACCCUGACGCAGCAACGCCGCGUGGAGGAUGACACUUUUCGGAGCGUAAACUCCUUUUGUUAGGGAAGAAUAAUGACGGUACCUAAAGAAUAAGCACCGGCUAACUCCGUG
rnacentral:rRNA from 1 species